rnacentral:lncRNA from 1 species
CAGGAUCCCACUCAGAAGUCCAUCCACGCCUAGGAGCAGAGCGGAGGCCAAGCCGAAGGUGGUGAAGACGGCAAAGUCAUUCAGCUCGGCUCCUGCCCCAGACGGCCCAAGGCAUAGAUUUCAGCAGGAGGAGGUGUGUGGGAUAUGGCAGUGAACGAGCUCAAUGGCCAGGCCUGCGAGGCAGCAGCAGCCUCCCUGUGUGUGUGGGACCGUCCAGCCCAGGCCCCCCAGUGCUCCCAGUCUCUCCCAGUCUCUCCCACAACAGGGAAUUGGCUGGCCCUGCCCAUCUUCACAGUCUGUCUUGUCUCUGUUUUUACUCUAAGACCACAUUUGUACACCUUACACUCAAUCUGCUUGAGAAACUGAGUCUCUUGGAGAAAGAGCCCCAUUCCUCCCCAAAACUGAGAAGCCCCGCUGGUUGGGGCAAAUGUACCAGCCACAAAUAGAUCCUGCACUUGAGUGAAAUAAACAAGUUUCAAGGUGUUCCCAGAUCUGUUUUCUCAUUUAAUCCUCACCCAUUUCAGAUGUGAGGAUUAAUCUCACCUCCAGCUCUGCCUCCAUCCAGCCCCUCUGUUCAGCCCCAGGCCCAUCUGGUCUGGACAAGAGCUGAGACAAACCAUGGUCUUUUCUCAUAAACCUGCCACCAACAUGCCAGCAGCUGGGAGGGCUGACUUGGAGUUUGGGACUAGAGUUUAUCAGGGCAGCACUGCUGGGCUCACUGCCUCCAUGGGCCAGCCUCACUCACCAAAGGUGAUCAGUAGCUACAUGGCCAGAGCCAUUGGGAUUCCUAAGACGUUCGUAUGCCAGAGCCCCUCCAAACCUAAGACAAGAAGCAAUGCAAGCCAGGGAAAUCUGGGAAGGGAAGGGGACAAAGGACUUGCUGCAUACUCCCUCCCCAUGAACCCGCUGUAGUGGUCUCUCCUGGGUCUCUGGGCUGACCCCAGCAAGAUCAAACAUCCCACUGUCUGCUGCUCAGAGCCAGUUAGCAGGUGCCCAGGGUCUGUCUACCACCUGUCAAGCAUUGCUGCUGCCUCUGUGCUACUUCACACUGGUUAAUUUUUAAUUAAUGGUCAAUUGUCUACUAUAUUAUCUCUUUCAUUAUCUCCUCCAUUCACAAACCACUUUCACAUUUAGGAUUUCCAUUGGCCCUGUGAGCUCUGUCAGGCAAGGGUUCU